rnacentral:rRNA from 1 species
GGGUACGGCGACCAUAGCGGGGGGGCCACACCUGAACCCGUUCCGAUCUCAGAAGUUAAGCCCCCCUGCGUUGGAGGUGGUACUGCAACGUUAGUUGCGGGAAGCCUCCAACGUCGCCGGCCCA